CACAACCAGAGAGGCUGCUGUUGAGCGGGAGAAGCUAUUAAAGGAUGCUUCGGAUGAAUAUUUGAAUACUGAGAAUGCUGGUUCUACUGGUUAUGUAGAAAUCAGUAC